UACGUAGGGGGCAAGCGUUGUCCGGAUUUAUUGGGCGUAAAGGGCGUGUAGGCGGCUUUACAGGUCCGUUGUGAAAACUCGAGGCUCAACCUCGAGACGCCGGUGGAAACCGUAAAGCUAGAGUCCGGAAGAGGAGAGUGGAAUUCCUGGUGUAGCGGUGAAAUGCGCAGAUAUCAGGAAGAACACCCGUGGCGAAGGCGGCUCUCUGGGACGGUACUGACGCUGAGACGCGAAAGCGUGGGGAGCGAACAGGAUUA
rnacentral:rRNA from 1 species